rnacentral:lncRNA from 1 species
CAGAACCGAGCUGGUCUUUUUGGCACCGACGGCAAAGGCAGGGGUGGUCGGUGGCGGAAGCUCUGGCGGUUGAAAGGUGACGGCUGGACAAAUGUCGAAGGGAGAGAGAGAGAGAGAGAGAGAGAGAGAGAGAUAGAGAAACUGAGGGAGAAGAGAAAGAAUGAGGUUAUAAAAAAUAUGAUUUUCCAAAUUACUGUUUCGC